UCUUGUGCAUGAAAUCAUGACUGUUGGUACACACUUUAAGGAGGCAAACAAUUUCCUCUGGCCUUUCAAGUUGAAGGCACCAUUGGGUGGCCUGAAAAAGAAAAGAAGGCACUAUGUUGAGGGAGGAGAUGCUGGAAACCGUGAGGAUUACAUCAAUGAGCUCAUCAGAAGGAUGAACUAAUGACUGAGUUUGCUUCUUCAGUGUCUUAAUUUUUCUGUAGAAGGAAAAUAAUUUGAAUUCAGUUUUUAGUUAGCAUUGGAAUAGU
rnacentral:lncRNA from 1 species